CCUACGGGAGGCUGCAGUGAGGAAUAUUGGUCAAUGGCCGUAAGGCUGAACCAGCCAAGUCGCGUGAAGGAAGAAGGAUCUAUGGUUUGUAAACUUCUUUUAUAGGGGAAUAAAGGUAUCCACGUGUGGAUAUUUGCAUGUACCCUAUGAAUAAGCAUCGGCUAACUCCGUUCCAGCAGCCGCGGUAAUACGGAGGAUGCGAGCGUUAUCCGGAUUUAUUGGGUUUAAAGGGUGCGUAGGUUGUUUUUUAAGUCAUCGGUGAAAGUUUGUGGCUCAACCAUAAAAUUGCCGUUGAAACUGGAAGACGUGAGUGUGUUUGAGGUAGGCGGAAUGCGUGGGGUAGCGGUGAAAUGCAUAGAGAGCACGCAGAACUCCGAUUGCGAAGGCAGCUUACUAAGCCAUAACUGACACUGAAGCACGAAAGCGUGGGGAUCAAACAGGAUUAGAUACCCCAGUAGUC
rnacentral:rRNA from 1 species